rnacentral:rRNA from 1 species
AGACGGGGCCCGCACAAGCGGUGGAGCAUGUGGUUUAAUUCGAUGCAACGCGAGAACCUUACCUGGGCUUGACAUCCCAAGAAUCCCCUGGAAACAGGGAGUGCCCUUCGGGGAGCUUGGAGACAGGUGCUGCAUGGCUGUCGUCAGCUCGUGUCGUGAGAUGUUGGGUUAAGUCCCGCAACGAGCGCAACCCUUGCCUUUAGUUGCCAUCAUUCAGUUGGGCACUCUAGAGGGACUGCCGGUGUCAAACCGGAGGAAGGUGGGAUGACGUCAAGUCCUCAUGGCCUUUAUGCCCAGGGCUACACACGUGCUACAAUGGGCGGUACAAAGAGCAGCGAGCUCGCGAGAGUAAGCAAAUCUCAAAAAGCCGUCCUCAGUUCGGAUUGGAGUCUGCAACUCGACUCCAUGAAGUUGGAAUCGCUAGUAAUCGCGGAUCAGAAUGCCACGGUCGAAUACGUUCCCGGGCCUU